CCUGUCGCUUCUUUUUCUUCU
rnacentral:miRNA from 1 species